CUGCAAAUCUAGACUUGUGGUGCCUGAAUAUGGAAACAUCGAAGGCGUAAUAGGGAACCCGGUGUAAAUCCGGGACAGUACCCGCUGCUGUAAUCCUGCAUCCCCCAAGGGAGAUGGAAAGGUUUCUGCAACAAUGCCACUGUUCCAAACAAAAAUGGAACGGGAAGGCUGCAGGAAUUCGGGAAAGUCAGAAGACCUGCCGCAACUAUUUCGUGAAC
rnacentral:ncRNA from 2 species